GACGAACGCUGGCGGCAGGCUUAACACAUGCAAGUCGAACGAGAUCUUCGGAUCUAGUGGCAGACGGGUGAGGAACACGUGGGAACAUCCCUUUCAGUUCGGAAUAACGUUGGGAAACUAACGUUAAUACCGGAUACGUCCUCCGGGAGAAAGAUUUAUCGCUGAAAGAUUGGCCCGCGUCUGAUUAGCUAGUUGGUGAGGUAAUGGCUCACCAAGGCUACGAUCAGUAGCUGAUCUGAGAGGAUGAUCAGCCACAUUGGGACUGAGACACGGCCCAAACUCCUACGGGAGGCAGCAGUGGGGAAUAUUGGACAAUGGGCGCAAGCCUGAUCCAGCCAUGCCGCGUGAGUGAUGACGGCCUUCGGGUUGUAAAGCUCUUUUGUCCGGGAAGAUAAUGACUGUACCGGAAGAAUAAGCCCCGGCAAACUUCGUGCCAGCAGCCGCGGUAA
rnacentral:rRNA from 1 species